rnacentral:rRNA from 1 species
UCGAGGGGAAACGACAUCGAAAGCUUGCUUUUGAUGGGCGUCGACCGGCGCACGGGUGAGUAACGCGUAUCCAACCUGCCCACCACUUGGGGAUAACCUUGCGAAAGUAAGACUAAUACCCAAUGACGUCUCUAGAAGACAUCUGAAAGGGAUUAAAGAUUUAUCGGUGAUGGAUGGGCAUGCGGCGCAUUAGCUAGUCGGCGGGGUAACGGCCCACCAAGGCAACGAUAUCUAGGGGUUCUGAGAGGAAGGUCCCCACAUUGGAACUGAGACACGGCCCAGACUCC